rnacentral:rRNA from 1 species
GAUGAACGCUAGCGGCAGGCUUAAUACAUGCAAGUCGAGGGGCAGCGCGGGGUAGCAAUACUCUGGCGGCGACCGGCAAACGGGUGCGGAACACGUACGCAACCUUCCCAAAACUGGUGAAUAGCCCUCCGAAAGGAGGAUUAAUACACCGUAACAUAACGAGGAGGCAUCUCUUUGUUAUUAUAGCUCCGGCGGUUUUGGAUGGGCGUGCGGCUGAUUAGGUAGUUGGCGGGGUAACGGCCCACCAAGC